AUUGAACGCUGGCGGCAGGCUUAACACAUGCAAGUCGAGCGAGCGGCGGACGGGUGAGUAAUGUCUGGGAAACUGCCUGAUGGAGGGGGAUAACCACUGGAAACGGUAGCUAAUACCGCAUACCAUCAGAUGUGCCCAGAUGGGAUUAGCUGGUAGGUGGGGUAAUGGCUCACCUAGGCGACGAUCCCUAGCUGGUCUGAGAGGAUGACCAGCCACACUGGAACUGAGACACGGUCCAGACUCCGACGGGAGGCAGCAGUGGGGAAUAUUGCACAAUGGGCGAAAGCCUGAUACAGCCAUGCCGCGUGUGUGAAGAAGGCCUUCGGGUUGUAAAGCACUUUCAGCGAGGAGGCGUUACUCGCAGAAGAAGCACCGGCUAACUCCGUGCCAGCAGCCGCGGUAAUUC
rnacentral:rRNA from 1 species